UACGUAGGGUGCAAGCGUUGUCCGGAAUUAUUGGGCGUAAAGAGCUCGUAGGCGGUCUGUCGCGUCGGAUGUGAAAAAUCCAGGGCUCAACCCUGGACCUGCAUUCGAUACGGGCAGACUAGAGUUCGGUAGGGGAGACUGGAAUUCCUGGUGUAGCGGUGAAAUGCGCAGAUAUCAGGAGGAACACCGGUGGCGAAGGCGGGUCUCUGGGCGAGUAACUGACGCUGAGGAGCGAAAGCGUGGGGAGCGAACAGG
rnacentral:rRNA from 1 species